UACGUAGGGUGCGAGCGUUGUCCGGAAUUAUUGGGCGUAAAGGGCUCGUAGGCGGUCUGUUGCGUCGGGAGUGAAAACUCAGGGCUUAACCCUGAGCCUGCUUCCGAUACGGGCAGACUAGAGGUAUGCAGGGGAGAACGGAAUUCCUGGUGUAGCGGUGAAAUGCGCAGAUAUCAGGAGGAACACCGGUGGCGAAGGCGGGUCUCUGGGCAACAACUGACGCUGAGGAGCGAAAGCGUGGGGAGCGAACAGG
rnacentral:rRNA from 1 species